rnacentral:lncRNA from 1 species
UGUUAUGAUAUCUGAACUGAGCUACAUCAGGAGCUUGUUGGAGAGGAGCGUUCGGUCUUUGCUGAACUGAGCUCAGGAGCUUGUUAGAGAGGAGCACUAGUGGAUUGCGCGCGAGCACAACGAAUUCUAGAUUGUCCUACGGUGGUUACAAUGGUGUUGACAAAGGUGUUACCAUCCACAGCUUGAAAGAUAACAUAGAUAGGAUUGCUGUGUACACAAAGGAUUGCAUGUGACAGUUGCAGUUCUGGUCUUGGCAUAAGAGUGUUUUAUAGCGCUAGGUGGUAUUAUUACAUACUGUCAGCAGGAUGCUGAGGUUGGUUUUGGUGAGAUAUGACUAUCUCAGAUUAUUGAGCUGCAGUAUUAAACAAGGGUUGGGGGGCAGCACAGCUGACAGUGUUGCUCUCUCUGAUAGAGAUGUUCGAAUCAUCAGUAGUUCAUGCUACGGUCUGACUCCCAUCCAGGUUCGUAGUCAUCUGAGUUCUCGGGCAGUGAUUCUGUGUCAGUAUCUGUGAAUACAUGAACACAUUAUAUCAGAAUGUUUGAAGGUGUCUGUGCAUAGUUGUCUAGAUUGAGUAUGAAGGAUUCUAUAGUUCAGUAUUGUCUGUUGGUUUAUGCAUUUAUUAGAGAUAGUGGUAAUUUGAGUAUGUGGAAUGCACCUUGUUUGCUGGAAGUACCUUGACACUUGGAUGUUGCUCCAUUUUCAUUAUGUGUUAGGCAAGGAAUAAUUGUUAGUGUGUCAUAUGGUUGUGGCCAAUAAUGUGAUAACCUGAGAUUUCAUCUUUGUACCUUCGAGUGCACGCCAUUCUUCAUAUAUUUCCCUGGUGUUCAAUGUCUAAGUUAGUAUCUCCUGUUAGGAUACAGGGAUGCUUAGUUAGUAUGAAGCAUCCUUUUGUUUCUUAUUUUCUUGUAGCAUAGCUGCAGAUUUGGAACCAUUUAUCUGCAUGCAGGGAUGAUGUCCUUUGAUUAUACAACCAUGAACGAAUGAUACAUAUGGGAGGCGAUACCGUUGUGCAACUUGUUGUAAAACAGGCACAAGACAAUCGGGUUCCAAACAUAGCCCACAAACCACAGCUGUAUAAUCAAAGGAUUUGUAAGAACUAAGGAUAGCCUAUCAUAACAAAGGCAUGAUUGGCUGAGAAGUAGGUUUCAAAAGUUUUAGGUCAUUGAACAGUGAGAUUUUUUUUGAAGGAACAAAGGAAACAAUGAAGAAGUAAUUUAUGUCAGAUGAUAAAUAAAAUAAAAAACCUGAUAUGGAAAGCCAAAUAGGUAGUAAUUACCUCGAUACUCCAUAAGGCCGAAUGAACCUGAACAAUCAGCAAAAAGGAAAUCGAACACUGCAGGGAUAUAGGCUGCUAAGGAAACAUGGAAACACAAUAUAAGUGAAUAAAGUAAAAGUCGUAGAGCUAUAAUGUACGGACAAAGUAAAAGUCGUAGAGCUAUAAUGUACGGACGAGAAAUAGAAGCACAAUACAAGGCAACACACAGAUGGGAACAUAGAUACAUAAACCUUAAAAAUAUAACACAACCAUCUGGUGCAUCAUUAAUUUAGGAAAUACAAUUCAUAUAGUAAGACAUAGCGUCUGAAUCCCUCAAGUGGUAACCUUUUAUCUGGUUUUAGGCAAUGGAAAAAUAGGAAAACAGACUGAAUAAUAGAUGGCAGGUAACGAAACAUGAUACACCAAAUGUAUUAUAAAUAAAAGAACGUAGAACAUUGACCCUAAGACAACCAACAGAGAUGGGAACACACCAUCUGAAUCCCUCAAACAAUAACCUUUUAUGUGAUUUUAGGCAAUGAAAAAAUAGAAAAACAAACUGAACAAUAAAUGUGAGGUAACAAAGCAUGACACAUGGAGUGUAUUAUACAUAUAAGAACCUAAGAAAUUGAACCUCCCAAAUAUAAAUAGCAUAAGCCAUAAUGCAUGAGGACUUCAGAUGAUAACCUAGAGUAACCUAUAUCUACGGUGGCUGUGGACAAUAAGCACACAAGAAAAAAGAGGGAAUGCUUUACAUCAGACAAAGCGUGAGCACACAUCCAAUGCACUGUAAACAUGGAGACAUAAUCAAAUUGAACCUGCGCAAUAUAAAAAGCAUGAAUUACCUAACUAAAAAUAAAAUAACCCAUAAUGUAUGAGAACCUCAAAUAGUAAACUAUAGUAACCUAUAUUCUUUGUCAUCGUGGACUAUGAGGAAACAAAAA